AUUGAACGCUGGCGGCAGGCUUAACACAUGCAAGUCGAGCGGAGAUGAGGUGCUUGCACCUUAUCUUAGCGGCGGACGGGUGAGUAAUGCUUAGGAAUCUGCCUAUUAGUGGGGGACAACAUUCCGAAAGGAAUGCUAAUACCGCAUACGUCCGACGGGAGAAAGCAGGGGAUCUUCGGACCUUGCGCGAAUAGAUGAGCCUAGGUCGGAUUAGCUAGUUGGUGGGGUAAAGGCCUACCAAGGCGACUAUCUGUAGCGGGUCUGAGAGGAUGAUCCGCCACACUGGGACUGAGACACGGCCCAGACUCCUACGGGAGGCAGCAGUGGGGAAUAUUGGACAAUGGGGGGAACCCUGAUCCAGCCAUGCCGCGUGUGUGAAGAAGGCCUUAUGGUUGUAAAGCACUUUAAGCGAGGAGGAGGCUACUGAGACUAAUACUCUUGGAUAGUGGACGUUACUCGCAGAAUAAGCACCGGCUAACUCUGUGCCAGCCGCCGCGGUAACAC
rnacentral:rRNA from 1 species